GGCGGGAUAGCUCAGUUGGCUAGAGCACACGGUUCAUACCCGUGGUGUCGCUGGUUCGAAUCCAGUUCCCGCUA
rnacentral:tRNA from 1 species